rnacentral:rRNA from 1 species
AACGCUGGCGGCGUGCCUAACACAUGCAAGUCGAACGCUCUGCGCAAGCAGAGAGUGGCGGACGGGUGAGUAACACGUGGGGACCUACCCCCCGGUGAGGAAUACCGGCGAGAAAUCGUCGACAAGACCGCAUAGCCUCGGGCAACCGAGGAAAGCUCCGCAAGGGGCGCCGGAGGAUGGACCUGCGGCCGAUUAGCUGGUUGGUGAGGUAAGAGCCCACCAAGGCAACGAUCGGUAGCUGGUCUGAGAGGAUGAUCAGCCACACUGGGAUUGAGAACGGCCCAGACUCCUACGGGAGGCAGCAGUGAGGAAUUUUCGGCAAUGGGGGCAACCCUGACCGAGCAACGCCGCGUGCAGGAGGAAGGUCUUCGGAUCGUAAACUGCUUUUCUCGGGGACGAGAUCGGACGGUACCCGAGGAAGAAGCCCCGGCUGACUACGUGCCAGCAGCCGCGGUAAUACGUAUGGGGCGAGCGUUGUCCGGAGUUACUGGGCGUAAAGCGCCCGCAGGCGGUCGGUCGCGUUUGAGGUAACAGCUCCUGGCUUCACUGGGAGAGCGUCUCAAAAACGGGCUG